GGAGAGGUGACAGAGAGGCUUAUUGUGCAACAUUGGAAAUGUUGUGUUGCGGAAACGCAACCGUGGGUUCAAAUCCCACCUUCUCCGCCA
rnacentral:tRNA from 1 species